AGUGAACGCUGUCUGUAGGCCUAACACAUGCAAGUCGAACGGCAGCACAGUAAGAGCUUGCUUUUACGGGUGUCGAGUGGCGGACGGGUGAGUAAUACAUCUGCAUCUACUUUUUCGUUGGGGAUUACGUCGUGAAACUUACGCUUAUUCCCCCUUCGCCUUACGUGUGAAAGCCGGGGAUCUUCGGACCUUGUCCGCUUUCAUGAGCCGAUGUCGGGCUAGUUAGGUUGGGGGGUAAAGGCCCACCCAGGCGACGAUCCGUAGAUGGUCUGAGAGGAUGAGAAGCCACACUGGAACUGAGAUAAGGUACAGACUAAAACGGGAGGCAGCAGUGGGGAAUAGUGGACAAGGGGAGGAAGGCUGAUCCAGACAAGCCGCGUGGGUGAAGAAGGCAUUCGGGUAGUAAAGCCCUUUUGUUGGGAAAGAAAAGCAACAGGAUAAUACCCCGCUGUACUGAAGGUACCCAAAGAAUAAGCACCGGCUAACUUCGUG
rnacentral:rRNA from 1 species